UACAGAGGUCUCAAGCGUUGUUCGGAUUCAUUGGGCGUAAAGGGUGUGUAGGUGGCGCGCUAAGUCGGGUGUGAAAUUUCGGAGCUUAACUCCGAAACUGCAUUCGAUACUGCGGUGCUUGAGGACUGGAGAGGAGACUGGAAUUCAUGGUGUAGCAGUGAAAUGCGUAGAGAUCAUGAGGAAGACCAGUGGCGAAGGCGGGGUCUCUGGACAGUUCCUGACACUGAGACGAAGGCCAGGGGGAGCAAAACGGGG
rnacentral:rRNA from 1 species